GUAACUAUCGCAUACCACAAGGCCUGGGCUGAAAUGCCUCGUUUGUCUCCAAAAGUUUAAACUUAGGAAAGCUCUGUUAAAGGGGACGAGAAACCUUGUCAUUUAAUGUCUUAGGUCUAUUACAGUAGUGCCCAGGGACAACCAAGAUCGGGGCCCCAUUGUGCCAGGUGUUGUGCAGAGCGAUUAACAGUCCUUGUUGUGCUGGGCUUACAGGCUAAAUAGGCUGGAGAGACAGAGCAGGAAGGAGGAGAAGAUCCAGUCCAGCCUCCAGGAAAGAAGCCUCACCCCUCCCAUCUCACUUCACUGAUACACCGACUCGCACCACGUCUCAGAUAAUACCAACGCUUUGAACUGUCAGCUCCUCUCCCCUGGAGGCCUCAGUGUAUUUUACAAAGGUUCUGAGCUUCUUCCACCCAACUGUGCCGAGGAGGACGGAGAACCAGCUAAGGCAGUGGGAUCCUGGGUUUGUUCCCUGGACUGGGGAUUUCGGAUGGAGAGCUGAAGCAUGAAGGCCAAAGGGUUCAAACCGGAAUGCUCCACGGAACCAGGCUGCUGCCAGAAGCAUUUGCAGGAAAUGCAAACGCCGUGUGCAUCUGCAGUGGAAACUUGAGUCUACAAAUCACCCCGUCCAAUCAAAGGACAGAAACACUACCAGACUGGAGUGCCCAAUCAAAACAGGUUGAAUUUUUAAUAGUGGGGGCUUUUUUCUGAGAGUAAUUCUGAGAACACCACGAUACAUGGGCAGAGAGAAAAAGGGAUGGAAUUUAUUCUCCCAGCUCUGAGACCGACAUCCUCAGAAACAAGGACAGUAA